GCAGUCAGCAGCAUGAGGUGGUUCUCUCUGCCGUGGUCUCACCCCAGACAUGGAAAGCAAGAGCCCUGGGUGGAGCUGAAGGUGCUCAGCUGGGUUUCUCAGGAGUCUCAUCUGUCAGUGAAUUGACUAGAAACAGAGCAAAACGACUCCUCCAAUGUUGAUGAGCCUGCCCCUGGGAUUUGGAAACUUGAUAACAGAGAAAACCAAUAUAGACAAAGGAAUUUAAACAGGAUUAUGGUCAAUUAAGCAAAUGAGAAAAGGAUACUUGAAGGAGUAUUUGGGACACAGGAGUCAAAAACAGCAGGAAGACAUGAGGAGCUUCCCUAAGACUCUAGACUACAGCACUAUGUAGAUAACUAACAGUAGAUUGUUAAUUAUAUUAUUGAAGAGCCACUCACUAUGUGGAUAACUAACACUAGAAUAUUAAUUAUAUCAUUGAAGAAAUAAAAUUUGCAUUGAAAUAUAAAUGGUUUACAAAAGGUCAUGAAAAUCUUGGAGACUUAUUUCAAUUCAGACAAAUGUGUUCCUCUCAUUCUCGGCUGUUUACUAGUCCAUUGAUUUUGGAUCUGACCAACUGGGGAAGAGGCGUGGCCUCUCCUGACAGGAAGGCUCCAGGGCCCAGGCAGGGAGAAUGACGUCUCAGAAUGACUGCCUUGAGAGCCCUGUUCCCCUUUUAUCAACACACAGACCCAGAAGACCCUUCCGUCCUGUAGCACCUGCCAUGAGCAUUGAGCUCCUGUGCUGUGCGGCCUUUUCUCUCCUGUGGGCAGGUCCAGGGAAUGCUGCUGUCAAUCAGACCCCAAAAUUCCAGGUCCUGAAGACAGGACAGAGCAUGACACUGCAGUGUGCCCAGGAUAUGAACCAUGAAUGCAUGUCCUGGUAUCGACAAGACCCAGGCAUGCGGCUGAGGCUGAUUCAUUACUCAGCUGCUGCUGGUAUCACUGACAAAGGAGAAGUCCCCAAUGGCUACAAUGUCUCUAGAUCAAACACAGAGGAUUUCCCGCUCAGGCUGGAGUCGGCUGCUUCCUCCCAGACAUCUGUGUACUUCUGUGGCAGCAGUUACUCCACAGCACUACAAGGCUGUCUCCUCUCCGCACAUAAAGACAGGGAGGCUCUGCCCUCCUUCCCGCUCCCCAAGACUCAGGGAUGCCCUGGGCAGAGUUCUCUACACCAGGAACCUUGGAACCCCAAGUGGCCCAAAGUGGUCCAGACAGAAUGA